rnacentral:sRNA from 1 species
UGUUAGUGUUCUCCCUUUCAUUGCCUUA